rnacentral:rRNA from 1 species
AGAGUUUAAUAAAACUCCUAAACCCCUGUGAACUUACUGGUGUUUGGCUCGCCAGAUAUAGUCUGGUCCGUAAGCAAAUCGACUGCCUGCCUGUGUAACAGGCAGGUAAGCUUUUGUCGCGGGGUCCCGGAUCAACCCGGGCUAGAUAGCCACUUAACUAUAUACUUUUUAUAAAAUCUGUGAACUUACUAGGUUGGAUUCUCGCCAGAGAUAGUCUGGUUUCUGCUUCGCGGAUCGCCUACCCGUGACACCUGUCACAGGCAGGUAUGCUUCUGCCGCGGGUCCGUAAGUAAAUCAUCUGUUUCGCAAGGGACGGCGAUUUACCUGUGGAAGAGGUCCUCUAACUAUAUUCUUAGUAUAGUUUGUUCACUAGAUCAAACAUUCUGAAUAAAAACUUAAACUAGUUAAAACUUUCAACAACGGAUCUCUUGGUUCUGGCAUCGAUGAAGAACGCAGCGAAAUGCGAUAAGUAAUGUGAAUUGCAGAAUUCAGUGAAUCAUCGAAUCUUUGAACGCACAUUGCGCCCAUUAGUAUUCUAGUGGGCAUGCCUGUUCGAGCGUCAUUUCAACCCUUAAGCCCCUGUUGCUUAGCGUUGGGAGCCUACAGCCUGCUGUAGCUCCUUAAAGGUAGUGGCGGAGUCGGUUCACACUCUAGACGUAGUAAAAUCUUUAUCUCGCCUAUGGAUGAGCCGGCGCCUUGCCGUAAAACCCCUAAUCUUUCACAAGGUUGACCUCGGAUCAGGUAGGAAUACCCGCUGAACUUAAGCAUAUCAAUAAGCGGAGGAAAAGAAACCAACAGGGAUUGCCCUAGUAACGGCGAGUGAAGCGGCAACAGCUCAAAUUUGAAAUCUGGCCUUCGGGUCCGAGUUGUAAUUUGCAGAGGAUGCUUUGGGCGCGGUGCCUUCCGAGUUCCCUGGAACGGGACGCCUUAGAGGGUGAGAGCCCCGUACGGUUGGACACCAAGCCUCUGUAAAGCUCCUUCGACGAGUCGAGUAGUUUGGGAAUGCUGCUCUAAAUGGGAGGUAAAUUUCUUCUAAAGCUAAAUAUUGGCCAGAGACCGAUAGCGCACAAGUAGAGUGAUCGAAAGAUGAAAAGCACUUUGAAAAGAGGGUUAAAUAGCACGUGAAAUUGUUGAAAGGGAAGCGUUUACGACCAGACCUUUUCGCAGCGGAUCAUCCGGUGUUCUCACCGGUGCACUUCGCUGGGUUGAGGCCAGCAUCGGUUUCCGCAGGGGGAUAAAAGCCUGGGGAACGUAGCUCCC